UACGGAGGGUGCGAGCGUUGUCCGGAAUCAUUGGGCGUAAAGGGCGCGUAGGUGGCCCGGUCAGUCGAUGGUGAAAGCGCGGGGCUCAACUCCGCGUCGGCCGUCGAUACUGCUGGGCUUGAGCACUGUAGAGGCAGGCGGAAUUCCGGGUGUAGCGGUGGAAUGCGUAGAGAUCCGGAAGAACACCGGUGGCGAAGGCGGCCUGCUGGGCAGUGGCUGACACUGAGGCGCGGCAGCGUGGGGAGCAAACAGG
rnacentral:rRNA from 1 species